rnacentral:rRNA from 1 species
UGUUUCAAAUUACUGGGAUUAGACCCCACUAUGCCUAGCCGUAAACUUUUAUUUACACCCAAUCGCCAGGGAACUACGAGCUAAGCUUAAAACCCAAAGGACUUGACGGUGCCCCAUAUCCCCCUAGAGGAGCCUGUCCUAUAAUCGAUAAUCCACGUUCAACCUCACCAUCUUUAGUUAAUCAGCCUGUAUACCUCCGUCGUCAGCUUACCACGUGAGCGCCAAUUAGUGAGCUUAAUGUUUUUCACCAAUACGUCAGGUCAAGGUGCAGCAAAUGAAAUGGGAAGAGAUGGGCUACACUCUCUAUUUUAGAAAAAACGAAAAACUACCUAUGAAACCUAGUUAGAAGGCGGAUUUAGCAGUAAAAAGGAAUCAGCAUGUCCAUUAUCCGCAGCUGGUG